rnacentral:rRNA from 1 species
GAUGAACGCUGGCGGCGUGCCUAAUACAUGCAAGUCGAGCGAACAGAUGAGAAGCUUGCUUCUCUGAUGUUAGCGGCGGACGGGUGAGUAACACGUGGGUAACCUACCUAUAAGACUGGGAUAACUUCGGGAAACCGGAGCUAAUACCGGAUAAUAUUUCGAAUCGCAUGGUUCGAUAGUGAACGAUGGUUUUGCUAUCACUUAUAGAUGGACCCGCGCCGUAUUAGCUAGUUGGUAAGGUAACGGCUUACCAAGGCGACGAUACGUAGCCGACCUGAGAGGGUGAUCGGCCACACUGGAACUGAGACACGGUCCAGACUCCUACGGGAGGCAGCAGUAGGGAAUCUUCCGCAAUGGGCGAAAGCCUGACGGAGCAACGCCGCGUGAGUGAUGAAGGUCUUCGGAUCGUAAAACUCUGUUAUUAGGGAAGAACAUACGUGUAAGUAACUGUGCACGUCUUGACGGUACCUAAUCAGAAAGCCACGGCUAACUACGUGCCAGCCGCCGCAGUAA